GACGAACGCUGGCGGCGUGCUUAACACAUGCAAGUCGUACGGUAAGGCCCUUUCGGGGGUACACGAGUGGCGAACGGGUGAGUAACACGUGAGUAACCUGCCCACAACUUUGGGAUAACGCUAGGAAACUGGGGCUAAUACUGGAUAUGUGCUCCUGCUGCAUGGUGGGGGUUGGAAAGCUCCGGCGGUUGUGGAUGGACUCGCGGCCUAUCAGCUGGUUGGUGGGGUAGUGGCCUACCAAGGCGGCGACGGGUAGCCGGCCUGAGAGGGUGACCGGCCACAUUGGGACUGAGAUACGGCCCAGACUCCUACGGGAGGCAGCAGUGGGGAAUAUUGCACAAUGGGCGCAAGCCUGAUGCAGCAACGCCGCGUGCGGGAUGACGGCCUUCGGGUUGUAAACCGCUUUCAGCAGGGACGAAGCUUUUUGUGACGGUACCUGCAGAAGAAGCACCGGCUAACUACGUG
rnacentral:rRNA from 1 species